AUCCGUAGCCGAUCCAUCGGCAAUGUUCUUGUGCAAUUUCGCACCAUUCGAAGGUGCCAAACCGCAGAUUGUGAAAUUCUUUUUUAACAGACCAUGUCCGCGGCAUCAAGGUGCAGACUUUGACAAAGGUUUCUAGAGACUGGACAUGUGCAAGAUCGGCCUAGAGAAAGUUGACCAAGAGUUACAUCUGACCGGGAAGACGGAUUAUUAAUCAGAGAAGCACGAGCGGACCCAAUAAGAAACUGCCCACUUGUCCGACAAGACCUGAUUUUAGCUACUACAUGCCAUAUAAGCCCAAAAGGACAGUUUUAUAUCGGUUAAAUGACGCGGGACUCCGUUGCAGGAGACCCAUAAGGCGACUACUUCUCCAGUCUCCCAUCGUGCAGCGAUAUUAGCUUGGUAUCAGGAAAGAGAAUUGUGUCAUGGAGAGUGGAAUAAUGGAUAUUUACAGAUGAAAGCAGAUUUGAGAUAGCUCCAAGUCGUUAUGUGCAGGAAGUUCACUCAUACUAAAGUGGAUCCAUAAUGAUCGGGAUAGUAUUAUUCUAAGAGGUAGAACGGAGCUCUACAUCUGCGACCGUAGUAUGACCGGUGAAAUUAUGCAACACACAUUACCGAUUGACUUUUGAACCAAAUUUUCAAUUUUUAGACGACAACGUUAGUCCGCACAGAGCUGGGUUUGUCUUUAACGUCUUAGAAAAUGCCCAAAUUAAACGUCUGCUCUUACCAACCUUGUUACCUGAUCUGAAUUGCAUAAAACAUUGAGAUAUGCUUGGAAGAUCAUUAAUUGCAGCUCACCAAUCCCUUAAUCAUAUUUCCAGAGAAUUAAGACAACUUCUUCCAGAAUUAUGAAAUACUUUGGAGUAAAAUCAUCUGGAUGAUUUGAUAAGAAAGGGUACAAGCUAUAAUAAGAGGCAGAUGCAGAAUUACUCGAAAUGGUGUAUUUUACAUUUUAUAAGUGGGAACAAAAUUUCUUAUUUAUUCUGUAAAAUAUAUAUUAAGUUGCCUUUGG